CACUGUGUGAAUAUGUAGGUGAUUUAUCUGCAUUUUAAACAUGAAGAUAGGGGUGUGGGAAUAUCAUAUAACUACCCACCUUUUCCCAGGUCACCUGUACAUUCAACUCUGAAGUUUCUGACUGUUAGGUAGGAAUAUUUUCAUUCCAUUUUUAUGAAGAGGUAGACAAGGCAAAAGUAUUUUCCAGAAACUGGAGUGCAUAUCAUAGAAGCACCUGCAUAUGACCCUUUGAAACAUAAACUUUAAUGGUGCCCUUCAUUUGGGUCUCACCAAAGGGCUUGUCUCCUCUCUGUUAGGUGUGUGUCUUAGUCUUCUGAAAACCUAGAUGCCUAAACUCAGUUUAAUAUAAGUAGUUUAAAUUUUUCUUCAGCACAAGAAAUCAGGCACAAUAUUACAAGACAAUAACCAACUGGUGGGAUAUAUUUAAACAAAGUAAAGGUCAAUAGUUCAAUUUCCUGCUAGGACUAGUAGGAUAGCCUGAUGUGGUGGUGCAUGCCUAUAACUUUAGCAACUUGGGAGGCUGAGUCAGGAGGAUCACAGCCUCAGUAAGUUAGU
rnacentral:lncRNA from 1 species